rnacentral:rRNA from 1 species
AUUGAACGCUGGCGGCAUGCUUUACACAUGCAAGUCGAACGGCAGCGCGGGCUUCGGCCUGGCGGCGAGUGGCGAACGGGUGAGUAAUACAUCGGAACGUGCCCAGUAGUGGGGGAUAGCUCGGCGAAAGCCGGAUUAAUACCGCAUACGGCCUGAGGGUGAAAGCGGGGGAUCUUCGGACCUCGCGCUAUUGGAGCGGCCGAUGGCAGAUUAGCUAGUUGGUGGGGUAAAGGCCUACCAAGGCGACGAUCUGUAGCUGGUCUGAGAGGACGACCAGCCACACUGGGACUGAGACACGGCCCAGACUCCUACGGGAGGCAGCAGUGGGGAAUUUUGGACAAUGGGCGAAAGCCUGAUCCAGCAAUGCCGCGUGUGUGAUGAAGGCCUUCGGGUUGUAAAGCACUUUUGGCGGGAACGAAAAGGACUGUGCCAAUACCACGGUUCGAUGACGGUACCCGCAGAAUAAGCACCGGCUAACUACGUG